rnacentral:rRNA from 1 species
GGCGAACGGGUGAGUAACACGUGGGUGAUCUGCCUUGCACUCUGGGAUAAGCUUGGGAAACUGGGUCUAAUACCGGAUAGGACCAUGCUUUAGUGUGUGUGGUGGAAAGUUUUUCGGUGCAAGAUGAGCCCGCGGCCUAUCAGCUUGUUGGUGGGGUAAUGGCCUACCAAGGCGACGACGGGUAGCCGGCCUGAGAGGGUGUACGGCCGCAUUGGGACUGAGACACGGCCCAG